UCAUUGAAGAUAAUUCAAGUAGGUAAAAACAUUGAAGAUAAUGCAAGUGGGUAAUAUCAUUGAAGAUAAUUCAAGUAGGUAAUAUCACUGAAGAUAAUUCAAGUAGGUAAUAUCAUUGAAGAUAAUUCAAGUAGGUAAUAACAUUGAAGAUAAUUCAAGUAGGUAAUAACAUUGAAGAUAAUUCAAGUAGGUAAUAUCAUUGAAGAUAAUUCAAGUAGGUAAUAUCACUGAAGAUAAUUCAAGUAGGUAAUAUCAUUGAAGAUAAUUCAAGUAGGUAAUAACAUUGAAGAUAAUUCA